CUUGAGCUUCCUUAUAGUACGGUGGCCGGCUUCUGAGAAGGAAGAAGUGGGAACAACCAGGCCUUCUAAGGGAUAGACCCAGAACUGUCACAGUGUCACUUCUGCCACAGUCUAUUGGUCAGAGCAAAUCCCAAGGCAGGCUCAGAUUUAAGGGGUGACGUAACAGAUUCCACCUCUUGAUGAGAGAGUGGCAAGAUUAUGUUGCACAAGAGCAUGCAGGAUGGGAGAUACAGUUGUGGCCAUCUUGGUAUCUACUACAACACUCUGGGCAGGCAGCCCCACUUAAGGCUCCUGUCACUCUCUCCCCAUAGAAGGAAAAGUGGACUCUUCUGUAAACGGGAAGAGGAGUUGAACUUGAAACCGGCUCUUUGCUAUCUUUUUACAGCAUAAAGAGACAUAGUAAAGAUAGUGUUCCAGGCUCCAGUUCUGGACAUUUCUGGGAUCUUAGAGAAGUUUCUUACUAAGUCCAUGAGGUGCUCAUAGACAGGGUGGGGAGACCUCACAGAUACAGAGCCACCCUAUUAAUUGAAACCCUAAGGAGAGAAGGCAGGGGAUCAUGGAAGGCUUUCUGAACUAUGUGAUUUUUAACUGUUGUUGUUGUUUUGAGACAAGGUCUCACUCUGUCACCCAGGGUGGAGUGCAGUGGCACAACCUUGGAUCACUGCAGCCUUGACCUCCUGGGCUCAAGCGACCCUCCCAAGUAGGUGGGACUGCAUCACUAUGCCUGGCUAAUUUUAUUUUAUUUUUUGUAGAGGCGGGGGGUCCCACUAUAUUGGCCAGGCUGGUCUUGAACUCCUGGGCUCAAGUGAUCCUCCUGUCCCAAAGUGCUGGGAUUACAGGCAUGAACAAUUGCCCCAAGCCUGAACUUAAUGUGUCUUAAUGAACAAUGACCAGCUUUGGAUGUAUUAUGGGGAGAUCUCAGGCAGAGUGAAUGCCAUCAGGGAAAUACUCAGAGAGAUUUGGGGAGUUCGGUUGGGUGGUGGGUUGUGAUUGCCUUUCCUCACUAGCCUGGCCUCCAUCUCUCUCCAGGCUUUGGCGAAGGUAACCCUGUCUCCUGGAGAAACGGUUUCUGCGUGACCUCCAAGGACUGCAAAUUUGGCAACUCCAUCUAUGCCCUGACCUAUGGUGUUGGCUUUGGCUUCUGCGUCAACACCACCUGUUGCCAAGGCAACUACCAGGAGCCCACCCCUCUCGCAGCUCAUCUGGCCUCACACACCCUGAGUGAGAUAUUGUGUCCUACAUGUCCUGGGAGCUACUUGGAGCCCUGCAAUUCCUCCUUCUACAUGCAGUGUCCCAGUGGGGAAUCUGAGUGUGUCCAGCUGGACCUAACGUCUGAAGAAGGCGGCCGGAACGUGAACGUACGCGGCUGCGGCUCCCGAGACCUGUGCAGCGCCCUGGACUGGACCCACGGGCUCUCUGUGCUCCCAAGACACUGGCUGUCG
rnacentral:lncRNA from 1 species